UACUUCAUGGGUCCCUGAAUAAUUAUAAUGUCCGUAUUCGCAGGGUUGUGUAGACUCUUCCCGUGUGGGUGUUCAUCACGACAAAUCGCUGUCUGGCUCCUGCUGCAGAUCAUGCAUAAAUAAACAGCAACUUCGCAGUUGAGAGAGUUGUGCAUGUGCUCCCAAACCAAAGCCUGCCCGUACUUUUUUCUCCCUUCAUAGCAGAUGAAAUAAACAGCGUUUUAUUCCGUCUUCUAAAUCUUCUGUCUUUACGGAGUUAGGAUGGGGUGCUCAUUUAGCUCACAGACCCCUGGAGAGGACAGACCAGAGGCAAAGCCUGGGGAAAAGACUGAAGAAGAAUUGUUCGAAGCCUGCAAUCAUAACGGGACUAUUGUUGAGGGGAGCAAGCCAGUCACAGAGCAGAGUGUGUUGAUCACCCCUCACGACCCAGCAGAAGCAAUAUGCAGGGACCUGGCGGAGCUGCCUGCUGAGGCCCAGUUUGGUGAGGCUGAUCCCACCUCAGAACCAACACCAGCACCUGAACCCACCUCUACAUCUGAACCAGUACUUGAAACAGAGCCAGUGACAGAGUUGAAUCAGAGUCCGACCUCUGACUCUUCUGGUAUCAAGGAGGAGGAGUCUAACAGUACUUCUGGAAACUAGCAGGAAGCACAGCCCCAACAGUCUCCCUGUGGAUCCACAAGGAAGGCUUUACAGGGAUCAGGAAAGAAAGAGACUAAGGGGGAUGACCAAGUGGGGGCCCUGGGCAGGGGCCCUGGGCGGGGGCCUGUUCCACUGAAAUGGCACAUAAGAAUGUCAAAUGCUUCUCUAGUUUCAUUUAAAUGAAAUCACCAUACUGAUCAGUUUGAAGUGAAAUGACCCUGAUAUUUCAAAUCUCAUUCUUUGUCUCAGUAGGUAUAACUUUGUAGAGUAUUAGAUUAAUGGCAAAAUUCAUGAAGCACUGUUCAGUCCUUUACUGACAUUUCUAAUGUUUUUAAAAUAAUAAUAAUAAUAAAUAAAUGCAUAUCAUGGUUUUGCUUAACAUUUCAAAGCCGUGACAAAAAAAAUUGUAGUAUAAUUUUAUAUUCAACUUAUAUUCAACUUUGUGUGCUGUCCCACCUUAAAAUCUCACUAAGUAUUGCAACUUAUCAGAAUUUUAACUUUGUACUUUUAAUGCUGUAUUUCACUCCGGAGAAUUAAAUUAACAUGAAGUAUAUAUGAUAUCAGAUUAAUGAAACCUAGAAAAAAAUGUUUUUUGUGUUGUUUUUAAAAUGACAGUCACGCUAGACAGAUGUGCAAGUGCAAAUUAAUCUGAUCCCAUAACAGACUUUGUUAAGGGGUUCAAAUUGUUUUGUUUACAUUCUCUCCACCAAAGUGAUCUUUGCUUUGAAUCAUUACGAUGUUUACAGCCAUGGACUGUCCCAUAUUACUCGAGUAUUCUCUCCUAGCAUUCUGGGAUUGCUACAGCCUGGAAGAUUCAGCUUAUUUUGAGAAAAGGCUGGGAGAUUCUUGUCUCCAUUACUUGUACCGCCAUUCCACCCCCCAAAGGCUGGAUCAAGAGUUGCUGUCCACACAUAACUUCUCUACUGCUCUUUGGAAGGCAAGACUACUUGAUACUGAUACCUAGAUAACUGGUGCUUGACUGAACACUGUGUCUAAGCCAUUUAGAAAGACAGCGUGUGCUUUUGACCAAGUGCUUUAAAUUCUUUAAGAGCUAGACUUUGAGUGGGUUUUUUAAAUUGUUAAACUGACUUUGAUGUAGCCACUACCCUGUAUGGACUAUAAAUAAACAUUAUUGUGUUACUAAA